rnacentral:rRNA from 1 species
UAGGGAAUCUUCGGCAAUGGACGAAAGUCUGACCGAGCAACGCCGCGUGAGUAAGAAGGUUUUCGGAUCGUAAAACUCUGUUGUUAGAGAAGAACAAGGACGUUAGUAACUGAACGUCCCCUGACGGUAUCUAACCAGAAAGCCACGGCUAACUACGUGCCAGCAGCCGUGGUAAUACGUAGGUGGCAAGCGUUGUCCGGAUUUAUUGGGCGUAAAGCGAGCGCAGGCGGUUUCUUAAGUCUGAUGUGAAAGCCCCCGGCUCAACCGGGGAGGGUCAUUGGAAACUGGGAGACUUGAGUGCAGAAGAGGAGAGUGGAAUUCCAUGUGUAGCGGUGAAAUGCGUAGAUAUAUGGAGGAACACCAGUGGCGAAGGCGGCUCUCUGGUCUGUAACUGACGCUGAGGCUCGAAAGCGUGGGGAGCAAACAGG